UUAAAUCUUCUGGAAAGAGCCAAAGAGUAAAAAAUAAAAAAAAAACUUCCCCUUUCAGAAUUCACGGAGGAGCCCCCCGCAAAAACGUUUCACAGGAUCCACAAUGGCAUUAAAAUGUGCCUCGAGAUAACUUAGCAAAGGGACACACACACAAGCGUUGCGAUGGGCUGCAACAACACGAGAGCGAGUGGCCUGUAGUCCAGGCCAUUGCCGUUAAUAUCAUGGCAGUGAAGGCUGAUGACAGCUGGACAAUUAGUCCAGCAACAACGUCGCUGAGGUGUAGAGUGAGGCCGAUCGUCACGACCGAGGUUAUCAUCUGCCAGUAUGAUCAACAGCUCCGUCGCGAAUAAUCAGCAAUAGACUGACGAUUUAAUCCACUGUGGUAAUCCCGGUCAUUGUGUGGAAACAGACAUCCCACUCGUAAACAAAAUAAUUAAAUUGUACUGGAAACAAUAAACUAAACCAACCUUCAUUUUUCCUGCACGUAAACAUGUGUAGUCGAUGUAUCUUUAUAUGUUGGCCUUCUAAACACUCUAUACUUAUGUUAAACAGGAGCAUGUAUUUAAGCUUCAAAACAUGGAUGGGCUUUAGACAUUCGGUUCUCAACAGCAGCCACGCUUAUUGGCCUGAGUAUCAUUUAUUAGCCUGACCUCUUCACUGCUGAUGAGACCCAAAAGGCUGAAACUGGUCCAAAGUUUUUCUCACUAAUGUAGCUUUAAAUGCAUGCGUUACAGUCCAUUGUGUUGUAUAUUCAUUUAACGUUAGGCGGCUGCCUGGAUUUUAACCGAUGUAACCAGUGCACCCAAACCAUUUAUUACCACAAAAAAGAAUACACCAUUGAACUCCCAAUGCACCUCUUUUUAUACAUUCUUAGAAUGUAACCGAAACUUAAAAAUCAGCGGUAAUAUUAAGCGGGCAUUUUUCUGAGUUUAUUUUCCCGACCUCUACAGAAGCCACACACAUAAAGCGGGCUUUAUUCAUACACUCUUAUUCCAGAUUUAAAGAAAAAACCCAGCUGUGCCCAGUUUCACACUGCAAGUGGAAGCACUGGUGACUGCCAACCGUUACCAUUAACACGAGAACGAACAGAAGGACAUUGUGGAGCCUGUAUGCCAGCGUUUAUUACGCGCACCCCAUUACGGGCAUGUGACACCAUAAAAUACAGUACAUUAAGUUUCAUUCUUUCUCGUGACCUUCCAAGUACACCCAGCCCAGUGAGCUGAACCACAUGAGGUGUGCCAUUAUAAAAACACAAACACACACACACACCUACGACUCUCGUACCUGAUGACUGAACACAACGCGGGCUUUUAGCUACAACUCCAUAAUACGACCCGGUUUUCUUUCAUGGUGUAAAGGAGUGCAAAGAACGUGAUUGUCAGGAACUUUCAGGAGGGUUGCCCUUCAGCGGUGCCAUCUCUCUCUGGAGGAGGUCGCAUAACAGAGGGCUCGUAGCGCUUUGCUUUAGCUGCGACGAGCAGCGUUCAAAUUGUCGGUCAAUCGAUCGAUCGUUUCUUUAUUUCUUUACGUGCCAAAUCUCGACCACGAUAAAGGAGGCAUCGGUGCACGUUGCGACGCGUUGAGUGCAUCGGGUGGGGAAAUUGGAUUUGUCAUCCGUUUUCAAUUCGUUUGUUUUUGUUUCCGGCACGGCAGUUGAAACGUUCUCGAAUCGAUCUUGAUUUGAUGCUUUCGUGACUGCAGGAAUCCAUACUCUUUGGUUCUAUCGGUAAAGUGACGCAGGUAUAAAAUAAAAUAAAUCACGACGUUUUCGGGCGCAACACAAGCGUCCAUUAUCAGACGACCACGCAAGUGCGCGCACGGCAAGGGUUUGGCAAUGCGCGCUGCCGCCGUGGGUUCUACGCUGAAGAACACCCCCCGAUUGUCACGGUCGGCUAGGCACGGUGCGAAAGAAGUUCAACGGACUCACAAUAGAGCAGUGGUUCGU